rnacentral:misc_RNA from 1 species
CAGCAAUCUUCAAGUGAAGACUCUUGGCUUUCUUCUUCAUCUUGUACAAUCUGCGUCCUAAUAUCAACAUUCCCAUGAGAGCAGCAGCCACAGAAAAGGACCAAGCAGGGCUAGCCCUUAAAAAGCAGUACCUCAAAACCUGAAAAGGAACCUUCCACCACACAACCCUCCUCCUCUGUGCUUCUAACUCACUAGAUUUUG